UAGGUUUGGUGUUCCACGUGUCCCUAGGCAAGGCAAGAACAGGACAUAAGGAUGCAUCACAUUAGGAAACUUUUGGCAGGAAGUCAGUGGGUGCGAUGGUUCCUGGGAUUCCUCACAUACUUCUCACAAGGAUGCCUGAGACCAGGUUUGUGGACAAGCCCAUGUACCUGCAACGUAGGAAGCUGUGUAUCACAUUGCAACAAGGAAUGAUCCUGGCCCUGGUAAAGUCAACAGCAACAGUCAUCAUAGGCGAAUCUGCCUAUCAGGGAUUGGAGACUCUCUAAACUCCCGCCUCUCAACCCAGGAAUCGGAGCCUGGGACAGACAGAUGCUUCAUUCCUGCAUGAGGUGGUAUUCCCGCCAUGAGUCCUGGGCUUCUUCACUGGAUGGCCCUUUGUCUCCUUGGAACAGGUCAUGGGGAUGUCAUGGUCAUCCAGAACCCAAGAUACCAGGUUACUCAGUCGGGAAAGCCAGUGACCUUGAGUUGUUCUCAGAAUCUGAACCAUAAGGUCAUGUACUGGUACCAGCAGAAGCCAAGUCAGGCCCCAAAGCUGCUGUUCCACUACUAUGACAAAGAUUUUAACAAUGAAGCAGACACCCCUGAUAACUUCCAAUCCAGGAGGCCGAACACUUCUUUCUGCUUUCUUGACAUCCGCUCACCAGGCCUGGAGGAUGCAGCUGUGUACCUGUGUGCCAGCAGCAAAGACACAGAGCUGCAGUGCUGCCUCUCCUUUGUUCGUAAACCUCAUUGUUUCCCAGAUCCAGGUGCUUUCUCUAGGACUUCUCCCCCGCCACUUCUUACAACAAUAGGAAGUGGGUUUGUGACUGUCAAUAUCUCAUCUGUAGACAGAGUUGAGCACAAACCAAUAAAAACCAUUGACAGUUAUGCCAAGAAUGGAAAAGUGGUUAUACAUGCCUGACAUUCAGUUGGUGGUAUUUUCCCAGAAUUACAUUUAGAACCCAUGCUAUCCUUUUCAGAAGAUGAAUAGGAAUUUUUUCUUUCUUUUUUUCAUU